rnacentral:tRNA from 1 species
GCGGGAGUACCAAAGUGGUCAAAUGGGCAAGGUUCAGGGCCUUGUUGCCUCGUGCAUUCGCAGGUUCGAAUCCUGUCUCCCGCA